UGGACGAUGGAUGGUUAGAUGAGAGAAUAUGGGGGUACAAAUGUGGGGGGUGUCUCUGAAUGGUAAUUUCUAUUGAACACUGUGUUGUGAGGGGGCUACCAACCCUUAACUGUUUUGGAGUUUAAAUUGGAAGUGCCCUUCUGGUACGAGGCCUGACCGGAGGCUUUUAAUCUGGUACCACGGGUAACCAGGAGCCCACGGAACUUGUUCCGUCCUGGUUAGUUGGUGCGGCCCUUCGGGGAGUAUCGUGGUGGUUGUGGUUUAACACCCAAAUGCGGGUAGAGCAUCGCUCGACGUAGAGUUGCGUCAUACAACCGGGUUCCGUGACCCAGAUUACGGAAGAGGAUUAGAUAGUCCUCGUGCCAAACCAAGGUAGAAGUCACAACCAAACAGUCGUGUCUUUAAUUGGUACCUGCGGAAUUGUUCCAAGGGGGCGGUGAUUGACGCUUGAAUUAAUCCUAUACUAGGAACCGUGAGAUUAAGCCAUCGCGGCAGGUGCUCACGUUAAGCCCACUGACUUUCAUGUCCCUAUCUACUAUCUAGCGAAACCACAGCCAAGGGAACGGGCUUGGAAUAAUUAGCGGGGAAAGAAGACCCUUUUGAGCUUGACUCUAAUCUGGCAGUGUAAGGAGACAUAAGAGGUGUAGAAUAAGUGGGAGAUAUUAGACUUCGGUUUGGUAUCGACAAUGAAAUACCACUACUCUUAUUGUUUCCUUACUUACUUGAUUAAAUGGAACGUGUAUCAUUUCCUAGCCAUUAUACGGAUAUAAUUAUUAUGUCUUAUGGUAUUGGGUUUUGAUGCAAGCUUCUUGAUCAAAGUAUCACGAGUUUGUUAUAUAAUCGCAAACAAAUUCUUUAAUGAGAGAAUGCAUUUAUGUAUUAUUGAUUUAAAAAUUUGGUAUAACUCCAAUUACUCAGGUAUGAUCCAAUUCAAGGACAUUGCCAGGUAGGGAGUUUGACUGGGGCGGUACAUCUCUCAAAUAAUAACGGAGGUGUCCCAAGGCCAGCUCAGUGCGGACAGAAACCACACAUAGAGCAAAAGGGCAAAUGCUGACUUGAUCUCGGUGUUCAGUACACACAGGGACAGCAAAAGCUCGGCCUAUCGAUCCUUUUGGUUUAAAGAGUU
rfam:Drosophila virilis strain TSC#15010-1051.87 Ctg01_8132, whole genome shotgun sequence.